rfam:Ovis aries breed Texel chromosome 12, whole genome shotgun sequence.
UCCCUUGUAGCUCAGUUGGUAAAGAAUCUGCCUGCAAUGCAGGAGACCUGGGUUUGAUCCCUGGGUUGGGAA